rnacentral:rRNA from 1 species
AAUCAACGCUGGCGGCGUGCCUAACACAUGCAAGUCGAACGCGAAAGGGGCUUCGGCCCUAAGUAGAGUGGCGAACGGGUGAGUAACACGUGGGUGACCUACCUUCGAAUGGGGGAUAACGUCCCGAAAGGGACGCUAAUACCGCAUAACAUCCUGUCUUUGAAGAGAUGGAGAUCAAAGCUGGGGAUCGCAAGACCUGGCGUUUGAAGAGGGGCCCGCGUCCGAUUAGCUAGUUGGGGAGGUAACGGCUCACCAAGGCGACGAUCGGUAGCCGGCCUGAGAGGGCGGAGGGCCACACUGGGACUGGGACACGGCCCAGACUCCUACGGGAGGCAGCAGUGGGGAAUUUUGGACAAUGGGCGCAAGCCUGAUCCAGCAAUGCCGCGUGCAGGAAGAAGGCCUUCGGGUUGUAAACUGCUUUUGUACGGAACGAAACGGCUCUCACUAAUACUGGGGGCUAAUGACGGUACCGUAAGAAUAAGCACCGGCUAACUACGUGCCAGCCGCCGCAGUAACAC